rnacentral:rRNA from 2 species
UGGAUCCAGACUUUGAUUCUGGCUCAGGAUGAACGCUAGCUACAGGCUUAACACAUGCAAGUCGAGGGGAAACGAUAUUGGAAGCUUGCUUCCGAUAGGCGUCGACCGGCGCACGGGUGAGUAACGCGUAUCCAACCUGCCCAUCACUUGGGGAUAACCUUGCGAAAGUAAGACUAAUACCCAAUGAUAUCUCUAGAAGACAUCUGAAGGAGAUUAAAGAUUUAUCGGUGAUGGAUGGGGAUGCGUCUGAUUAGCUUGUUGGCGGGGUAACGGCCCACCAAGGCGACGAUCAGUAGGGGUUCUGAGAGGAAGGUCCCCCACAUUGGAACUGAGACACGGUCCAAACUCCUACGGGAGGCAGCAGUGAGGAAUAUUGGUCAAUGGACGAGAGUCUGAACCAGCCAAGUAGCGUGCAGGAUGACGGCCCUAUGGGUUGUAAACUGCUUUUAUAAGGGAAUAAAGUGAGAGUCGUGACUCUUUUUGCAUGUACCUUAUGAAUAAGGACCGGCUAAUUCCGUGCCAGCAGCCGCGGUAAUACGGAAGGUCCGGGCGUUAUCCGGAUUUAUUGGGUUUAAAGGGAGCGUAGGCCGGAGAUUAAGCGUGUUGUGAAAUGUAGAUGCUCAACAUCUGCACUGCAGCGCGAACUGGUUUCCUUGAGUACGCACAAAGUGGGCGGAAUUCGUGGUGUAGCGGUGAAAUGCUUAGAUAUCACGAAGAACUCCGAUUGCGAAGGCAGCUCACUGGAGCGCAACUGACGCUGAAGCUCGAAAGUGCGGGUAUCGAACAGGAUUAGAUACCCUGGCAGUCCGCACGGUAAACGAUGGAUGCCCGCUGUUGGUCUGAAUAGGUCAGCGGCCAAGCGAAAGCAUUAAGCAUCCCACCUGGGGAGUACGCCGGCAACGGUGCAACUCAAAUGAAUUGACGGA